AAGGAAGAAAAGAUCUCAGUCACGCAUCAGACCUCUGAUCAGGGAAGGCUACCCGCUGAGUUUAAGCAUAUCAAUAAGCGGAGGAAAGGGC
rnacentral:rRNA from 1 species